UUUUUUUCUUGAAACAUAAUAUCGGCCUGUUGGAAAUAUAUCCUUUCCAAGAAUUCGACGACUCUUGUUCGUACACGCUCGACUUAUCGACGACAUCCACCCCACCCCUCGCUAACCGAAUUCUGUUUGGUAAAUCGGCACACGGGAGUCAUUCUAUCGACGAAAAUCGGAUUGAUUAGAUGUAUACUCUGCAACAAGUGUUCUCUUUCUACUACGUAGUAUUUUUGUAGUGAUUCUUCUAUCAAAUUCACGCUACUGCUAUGUCUAAUUAAUAUUAUUGCUCGAUUGCGAGGAAAAUUUGGAGGCCACGAAAUUCGAAAAAACGCCACCGGUGCCUGAUUAAUUCGAUAAUUUUCUAUGCAGAUAGGGUAACACUUGACUUAUUCUAAUGAAGGCAAACGUAUUUAUACGUUUGCUUGUUCUUUCUAUUGGACACUUGGUAAUAUUAAUUUAGUUUUUCAUAAUUUCCAUUUUUUCCUCUUCUCUGGGAAGGAUGUAGCGGUACUUCAAAUUUGAGCAUGUAUGUCACUUCUUCCCGUUCUUCCUGUCCCCUGGAAAAGACUUACUGGUGCUUCAAAACCAAAGAACUUUUCUCCCAUUGAAUUCGAUGAUUCCAGUUUGACGAACUUCCUUGGAUCAGAACAAUAUCGAAGACAACAUUCUUCACAUCUAAUCGUGAGUCGCAUGUAUUUUUGUUCCUCCGGUCUCUCAAUCAUGUCGAAAGAUGAAAGGUCCGAAUCGACACGAGUGAUUGGUUGUAUGCGUAGAAUUUUUGACGAGCAUAAUGACCGCGGGUAUUUAUUGUACCCGUGAAUAGUAACAUUUUCUUGUCUAUCAUACAAGAUACAUAUUACAGAAGUGUACGAUUCUGUAUGUAGGUGCUUCAUUUGUAAGAUGUGUUCUAUUCGAUUUCUUAUUUGUAAUUUCAUAGGAAACUUUUGUUUCGGUUCAGGCCACUACUAUGUUGAAUCGAUAACGUCGCAUGCGACAUAAAAAUGGUAUAAGAGUAAAAUUACCUCAAAAAUGUGGGGUGUGAAAAAGCAUUGCAUAUCAGGUCUAUUCUAUACCUCGUCGGUGAUUAGAACCACAGUUAAAAACGACAGACGAUCUCGUUCUCAGAUAAUAAUGUGGAUUUACGUACACAGGGUACGACAGUUGCAUGGUGCAAUCGAUUGCUUUCAAUGAGAUACAAUUUCGCUUCUAGAUGGCGCAACAAUGUUCUGUCUAUGAGAUUCGCAUCUUUAAUUAUUCUUAUAUCUAACAAUAAAUUUAUAUGUUAAACAAGGGGGGGGUGCAUUUGCUCUAUGAAGCAUAUAUAACUUGCAAUUAAUAUUUUCUUAAUGCAGCGAUUGAAUAAGAUAAAUACAUACUUCGUAUAUCAUUUUUUGGCUAUGAUCGAAUUCAAAAACAGAGUAAAUAAUUUAACUUAAAUUCUUAAAAUAAUUAUUAAAUGACAAGUUGCAUAAAAGUAACGUCAUAUUCUGUAUAAAUUGUAUUUAAGAUUUUCAUUGUUUAAUGUUAUUCAAGUCAUCAUAUCUAUCGAACGAUAAUAGUAUAAAAUUAAAGACUACUUAAGAAAGAAAAGGAUUACUUUAGUAUAUAGUGAUUAUGCUUAUACGUAUACAACGUUUCAUAAUCUAUUAAUACAAGUUCGUUAUAUCAUUAUGCAUUUUAGGAUUUUAUUAGAACUUUGGUAUUCAAUAAACCUUGUCUUCCACCGUGAAAUUAUGUAUGGUAUAUAACCAUAUCUGUUCUUCAAAUUGCAGUUGGUAGUCGAUGCACUUUGUAGACAUUAUGCAAAAAAAUGUACGCCUGUUAGAUGAAUAAAU